CUAAAUUAUUUUAAUUUUAAUUGAAUAUAUAUAUUUUUUUGUGUAAAUAUAUUAACAAUUGUUUCAGUAUUAAUAGAUUUAGAAAUUUCUUUUUCAAUAUAUAAUAUUGAGGUGUUGUUGAACCUUUCCUACAGCAUAGAAGUUCGAAGCCAAGUUUUUAUUCCACACAUGGCCGAAAAAGGAGUUCCUUUCACAAGUGGAGGAAUUUAUAGGAAUUGUUAAAGCAACUUGAAAUAGUUUAUAUAAAUUAGGGAAAGUCUGUUUUGUAAAAACCUUCUUCACAUCAUUUAAAGUUAUAUAAUUUUCAUCAGUAGACUGCAAUAUACAAUUCUUUGCUACUUCUAUUUCUGACUGUAAUACAUCUUUAGAUACAUUCAUCAAAUCUUGAAAAAUAUACAAAAUACAGGUUCAUUUUUAAUUAAACUAAAAAACUAGAGCAUAGGUAAG